GCCUUCAUGAAGCCGGAAUUGCUAGUAAUGGCAGGUCAGCAUACUGCCGUGAAUACGUUCCCGGGCCUUGUACACACCGCCCGUCACACCAUGAGAGUUGGGAAUACCCGAAGCCUGUGAGCUAACUUUUAGAGGCAGCAGUCGAAGGUAGAAUCAAUGGUUGGGGUGAAGUCGUAACAAGGUACC
rnacentral:rRNA from 1 species